UACGGAGGGUGCGAGCGUUGUCCGGAAUCACUGGGCGUAAAGGGCGCGUAGGCGGCCGAGCAAGGUCGCGGUGGAAAGCCCGGGGCUCAACCCCGGGUCGGCCGUGGCAACUACUCGGCUCGAACACUGUAGGGGCGGGUGGAAGUUCCGGGUGUAGCGGUGGAAUGACGUAGAGAUCCGGAAGAACACCGGUGGCGAAGGCGGCCCGCUGGGCAGGAAGAGGGCGCAAGCCCUCGGCUGACGCUGAGGCGCCGACAGCGUGGGGAGCAAACAGG
rnacentral:rRNA from 1 species